rnacentral:rRNA from 1 species
ACGGAAGGCAGCAGCUAAGAAUAUUCCGCAAUGGACGAAAGUCUGACGGAGCGACGCCGCGUGGAUGAUGAAGGUCGGCAGAUUGUAAAAUCCUUUCAUACUGAGGAAUAAGCAGUGUGAGAGAAACGCACUGUGGUGACAGUAGGUUAUGAAUAAGCAACGGCUAAUUACGUGCCAGCAGCCGCGGUAACACGUAAGUUGCGAGCGUUGUUCGGAAUUAUUGGGCGUAAAGGGCAUGUAGGCGGUUGUGCAAGCGUGGUGUGAAAUCGCGGAGCUCAACUCCGGAAUUGCGUUGAUAACUGCAUGACUGGAGUCACUGAGAGGCAAUCAGAAUUCCUAGUGUAGGGGUGAAAUCUGUAGAUAUCAGGAAGAAUACCAAUGGCGAAGGCAGGUUACCAGCAGAUUACUGACGCUUAGGUGCGAAGGUGCGGGGAGCAAACAGGAUUAGAUACCCUGGUA